rnacentral:rRNA from 1 species
UACGAAGGGUGCAAGCGUUACUCGGAAUUACUGGGCGUAAAGCGCACGUAGGCGGUCCGUUAAGUCAGAUGUGAAAGCCCCCGGCUCAACCGGGGAAGUGCAUCUGAAACUGGCGGGCUAGAGUACGAAAGAGGGUCGCGGAAUUCCCGGUGUAGUGGUGGAAUGCGUAGAUAUCGGGAGGAACACCAGUGGCGAAGGCGGUUGCUGGAGCUUUGCUGACGCUGAGGCGCGAAAGCGUGGGGAGCGAUCCGG